rnacentral:rRNA from 1 species
UACGUAGGCGGAAUAUUAAGUCAGUGGUGAAAUCCUGCGGCUCAACCGUAGAACUGCCAUUGAUACUGAUAUUCUUGAAUGUAGUUGAGGUAGGCGGAAUGUGUAAUGUAGCGGUGAAAUGCUUAGAUAUUACACAGAACACCGAUUACGAAGGCAGCUUACUAAACUAUGAUUGACGCUGAUGUACGAAAGCGUGGGGAGCGAACAGGAUUAGAUACCCUGGUAGUC